rnacentral:rRNA from 17 species
UCGUGAGACAGUUCGGUCCCUAUCCGGCGUGGGCGUAGGAUAUCUGAGAGGAGCUGUCCUUAGUACGAGAGGACCGGGAUGGACGGGCCGCUGGUGCAUCGGUUAGACUGCCAAGUCUACGGCCGAGUAGCCAAGCCCGGAAGGGAUAAACGCUGAAGGCAUCUAAGCGUGAAGCCCCCCUCAAGAUGAGAUAUCCCAUUCGAAAGAAGUAAACCCCCUUGAAGACGACGAGGUAGAUAGGGCAGAGGUGGAAGUACGGUAACGUAUGGAGCUGACUGUUACUAAUCGGUCGA